rnacentral:rRNA from 1 species
CCUACGGGAGGCUGCAGUGGGGAAUUUUGCGCAAUGGGCGAAAGCCUGACGCAGCAACGCCGCGUGGGUGAUGAAGGUCUUCGGAUCGUAAAACCCUGUCGCCAGGGACGAAGGUCGGGGGGUGAAUAGCCCUUUGGCUUGACGGUACCUGGAGAGGAAGCCCCGGCUAACUCUGUGCCAGCAGCCGCGGUAAUACAGAGGGGGCAAGCGUUGUUCGGAAUUAUUGGGCGUGAAGGGCGCGUAGGGGGUGGCAAUCCACGGGCUUAACCUGGGAACUGCAUCCCAGACUGGGACGCUGGAGUACUGGAGAGGGUGGUGGAAUUCCACGUGUAGCGGUGAAAUGCGUAGAGAUGUGGAGGAACACCAGUGGCGAAGGCGGCCACCUGGACAGUAACUGACGCUGAGGCGCGAAAGUGUGGGUAGCAAACAGGAUUAGAUACCCGAGUAGUC